rnacentral:rRNA from 1 species
CCUACGGGCGGCAGCAGUGGGGGAUAUUGCACAAUGGGGGGAACCCUGAUGCAGCGACGCCGCGUGGGUGAAGGAGUAUUUCGGUAUGUAAAGCCCUAUCGGCAGGGAAGAAAUUGGACGGUACCUGACUAAGAAGCCCCGGCUAACUACGUGCCAGCAGCCGCGGUAAUACGGAGGGGGCAAGCGUUAUCCGGAUUCACUGGGGGUAAAGGGAGCGUAGACGGCCAUGCAAGCCAGGGGUGAAAGCCCGGGGCCCAACCCCGGGACUGCCCUUGGAACUGCAUGGCUGGAGUGCGGGAGGGGCAGGCGGAAUUCCUGGUGUAGCGGUGAAAUGCGUAGAUAUCAGGAGGAACACCGGCGGCGAAGGCGGCCUGCUGGACUGAAACUGACGUUGAGGCUCGAAAGCGUGGGGAGCAAACAGGAUUAGAUACCCUUGUAGUC